UCACAUACUAAUCAUUUUUUGUGGUGAAAACACUUAAGAUCUACUCUCUUAUUGAUUUUCAAGGUCACUAGCUUUAAACAGCAAUUCUCCAUCAGGCAACAUGGCUAUCACAAUGCUUCGUCCCUCCAACUGGGUCAUAACAGAUAGAAGGACAAGACUUUAUUUGGAAAAAAAUCACCUGCUUCUAUAUAACUCUUCGCUCUGAGAAGAUAAACAUUCACAGAUUACAGAACAAACUUACAACACAUCUUCAUAGCAUCGCUGGGAAGGACACGCAGCAGUUGUGACUGAUCCUUAUUUGAAAAAACAAAAAAAGUCUGUUCAUUCCAGACACUGUGCUCCUCCACGUGCAGACGGGGUGGCAAGACUGGCCCUGGGGAGCCGGCAGCCCAGGGGACCUGCCAGCCUCUGUUGAACUGACAUCACCACUAGGUUUCAGGUUCUGCCCAGAUAAUCACGCUCGCAGGACAACAGAAGACAAAACAAAUAAGAACGAGGCUUAGUAUUGUAAUGCAAUAAAACUGACAAUAAAUCCAAUGUGACACAUACUGUCACACCUAAUAGCUGUUGUGCUUCGGACAAUUAUCCAUCAGAGACAAUCAAUUCUUCCACGGCUGCAAUGUAUGGGGACUUUGCAGAGCACACGCAGGAGUACAGGAUCACAGCUUUCCUCUCCCUUUGUUGGCUGUGUCCACGGGAGAAGGACACAGGCCUUCCCACAGCGGAGGGUGCCUGGAGAGGCAGGCCGGCCGGGGCGCGUCCCGGGUCCACUCCCGGAGCCUCUACCUGCCUCUCCCGGCAAAGUGCGCAGUCACAACAGAAACCAUCUUGGGCUGAUUUCAAAAGAAAAAGAACAUAUCAAAAAAUAAAAGCUAGCUCACAGACUCUCUGGGAAGGCUGGAGAGCCAACCUCAGAGUCUGCAGAGCAGGGAGCAGUUUGCGAGAUGACACCACAGGCUGGGAACAAAGGCUCGGCCCGCACCACUGUGUGGGCGAUGCUGCUCCCCGUGCUGGCCACUGGAGGCCCCUCUGCAAACCAGAGGGCGCUCCUGCUGGACGGGGUUCCCGGCCUCACCUGAUUUUUUGCAGAGCCAGCUCCUGAGUCAGACCUGAAGGGACACUGACCAGCGUAGCCCCAGUCCCCUGCCUGUGCCCCAAGCUGCGAGGGAGGCAGGGCGGCAAGGGUCAGCUUCCACCUCGGCUCGCCAGGGAAGACAGCACCUACACCCGCCGAGGAAAGAUGCUGAGAGGGUAGGUGACCACACCAGGUGACCGCGCAGCUCCACCUACAGCCCUCGCUCCCUUCUCCACCCUUUCUCAUGUGGCCAAGAGCACCUGCAGGGGAAAGCCUUAGCCCACUUUGGCGACCUUCUCGGCCCAUUCUAAGAUGUCGUUCACACGUUGUCCUUGCUCAGGGCUCCUGCGAGAUCACGAAGCUGCGCUGGUUUUGCCCCUGCAGUUGGGCAGCCGCGGGGAGUCCUGGCAGAGUGGUCCUAGCGACUCUGGCCCUCACCCUCACCACUUCUGCUCACACCCUUGACACUUGUGUUUGCAGUUUUAACUGAAGCCAGUCAAUGUAAAGUUAUAAUAUAUAUCAUAUAAAUCAGGCACCAGGAUCUACUGAGUUGUGUUUAAACAGAUAAAAAAAGAAGUAUUUGUUGAAUUGAAUAUACUUUUGGAAACAUUAUUGAAUUUAGACUUCGCCACCACCUUGCAAAGUAGGUGUUAUUCCCUGCAUUUACAAUGAGAAAACUAAGGCUAUUACAAAUUGCCUGAAGCCCUCCCAGGUGUCUCCCAGCUCAGCCCCUUCUCCGGCCUCCCCGCUGUGUCAAGAUCAACACAACCCUCGUUACUCUGAGCUGUCCACCACGGCUUCACUUCCCCACAACACUGGCACCUCGCGCCUGAGUGAAGGAGACCCAGGCCGUGACAGCAGCGUGGAAAGGGCUGUUUGCCCUCACUGUGGGCUUCCGCAAUGGCUCCUUGCAGGAGGCGAGGCCUGCAACACACGUUUUGGGGAGCACAGGAGUUAGGCAGACCGGGAGUCGGGAGGAGCCUGCGCUUUCCUCUGUCUGCUGCCGCCACGUGCCCGCCUAUCCAGCAAAGGGCGUGCUGGCCUGUACGGAGACUCAGGGUAGCAUUUGUGAUGAACACUUGCUCCAAAUGCAGAAAGCACUUUGAAAGCAAAUGUAUUUAUUUGUUUUUGUGUGUAUAUGUGUCCAAGGCAAUAUUUUAAAGCAAAUGUCUAUCAAACCUA